UUUCAACGUUGCAUAUCGUGGUAGCCAGUUCAAGUUCUAUAUUCACAUGGAAGGAUUUUAUUCACUGAAAAAGAUUUGGUACUUGAGAAAAGUACCUGAUGGAGAACUCCAUUUCCAGAUGUUGAAUUGCAAAUUUUGCGCAUUAAAUCGCCAGGGCCUUCAAGAUUGGGAUGAUGAGGUCAGCUCUCAGCAGCGAACGACAGAGUCGACGUCUUCAUCUUCCACGAUGAAUAAAAAAAAUGGAGAGGCCAUUGGUAUUGAGUACCAAAUGCAAAUAAACUGAACUAGGGCUCUGAACUCUUUAUUUUCUAUGUAAUUCAUUACAUGUGAACAUUUUGUUAGUUACAAUUUCAA